AGUGAACGCUGGCGGUAGGCCUAACACAUGCAAGUCGAACGGCAGCACAGUAAGAGCUUGCUCUUACGGGUGGCGAGUGGCGGACGGGUGAGGAAUACAUCGGAAUCUACUUUUUCGUGGGGGAUAACGUAGGGAAACUUACGCUAAUACCGCAUACGACCUACGGGUGAAAGCAGGGGAUCUUCGGACCUUGCGCGAUUGAAUGAGCCGAUGUCGGAUUAGCUAGUUGGCGGGGUAAAGGCCCACCAAGGCGACGAUCCGUAGCUGGUCUGAGAGGAUGAUCAGCCACACUGGAACUGAGACACGGUCCAGACUCCUACGGGAGGCAGCAGUGGGGAAUAUUGGACAAUGGGCGCAAGCCUGAUCCAGCCAUACCGCGUGGGCGAAGAAGGCCUUCGGGUUGUAAAGCCCUUUUGUUGGGAAAGAAAAGCAGCAGGUUAAUACCCCGCUGUUCUGACGGUACCCAAAGAAUAAGCACCGGCUAACUGCG
rnacentral:rRNA from 1 species